rnacentral:tRNA from 1 species
UCCCUGGUGGUCGAGUGGUUAAGAAUCCACCUUGCAAGGCAGGGGAUGUGGGUUCAAUUCCUAUUUGGGGAA